GGGAUGCUGUUGUGUUCUGGGUGUAGCACCCACCCAGCCAUGCUGAAACAAUGCCAUGGCCAACAUCCCUUCAGCUGUCCAGCCAGACUUGCCUGAGGGCAUCUGUACCUGCGGCCAUGCCUGUGUGCUUUCUUUGGCUUCUGGCUUUCUUUGCCGUUCCUUGUUUUCCUUUUGAAAAAUCCAACAUGGUCUGGAAAGCAUAUGACCACAGUUCAGUGGGGUUAGGGAGGGGAUCAGGGUGUCCGGUAAGGCUGCUAAGUGAGGUCCUUGAGUUGGGUGAGAAGUUGCCCUAGGUUGGGGGCAACCUAGGAUGUGGGUGAGACCUGGGGAAGGUGAGACCCACAGAACCUUCCCUACAGGGGCUUUUCCUCCCCCCUUCCUCCUCCCCCCAACUCUCUUUCUGUCCACCCUUGUUGUUCUCUGAUCCACUUAUUCAGCAGACUCAAUGGGGGCCCUUGGUGCCAGGCCCUGAGAGGGCCCCUGAGGUACAGAGAUAAAUACGGCACUAUUUUAGGCCACAGGUGACUGCGAGCACCUUGAGCACAGAGAGCUGGCCUACCUUGUUCAUCACAGCAUUCCCAGCACCUGUUGAAUGAACGAAUGAAUGAAUGCACAGAUGCAGCCAUGCCAUCCCUGUCUCCGGAAGCUCACAUACAGGAAGGCAUGCUUAUUAGAGGAAAUACAGAGAAGUAGAAAGAAGAAAAUAAACGCCACCACCCAAUGGGAAAUGAGACUAAAACAGAGAUGGGAAUAAGAAUCCCUUUCAACAUCACGGGAGGAUUGUCUGAAUAAGAUGAGCUGAUGCUUGUAAAGAGCCUUUCAUGGAUCAUCUCAUGAAUACAUAACGAGGCUGCGCUCAAGCGCAUCUGGCCCGGCCAGCGCCUCCGCCACUUAAUCUCGUCCAUGCUCCAAUAUCCAGGCGGCCCAGCUGGGGCCUGCCUUAAAGGAGCCGCUUCCCUUUCCUGCCUGGGGAUGCCAGGCCAGCCUAGCACCAGGCACCACCGAGACCCGGCCGUGAAGGGGGAUGGCAGACCUGGGGAAGGAAGAAGUCCUAAGACUCUGGAUUGCAGUGUAUCCAGCAGCCCGCGAGAAGCACUGGCCUGGGACCCAGAUGUAGGUACCUGGAAUACCUGCCGCCGCAUCCUAGGAUGGGCACACACCUGCCUUGGGACGUGCCGACACCACCACGUGCUAUCAGGAAUUCUGAGCUCCCCGAGGAACUUAGAUCCAACUGGGAUCACCCACGGUGUCACAUGGUCAUGGGGGUGACGUGCCUACUCCCGCCUCACCUUCUGCCAUGAGUAAAAGCUUCCUGAGGCCUCCCCAGGAGCUGAGCAGAUGCCAGCGUCAUGCUUUCUGUACCGUCUACAGAACCGUGUUGUUCCAACCUUUAUCUACAUUAAUAUCGUCAAUCCUUUCAACCAUCCUGGAAAUGUAUUGUCUCUGUUUUAAAGAUGAGAAAUCAAGACACAGAGAGGUUAAGAAACUUUUCUGAGAACACACAGCUGGCUUCGUUUAGGUAGAAGGACAACCCCCUGAAGUGGAGGAGACUUGGGCCAGACUAGACUGGCCAGGAUGGAGGAAGAGCCAGAAUAAUCCUUAAGGAGGGAAAGGCAGGGCACAGCUGGCCCAAAGAGUGUUGUGAGACCACGCGGCAGAUGGGAACGAAGUUUUGGGGACAGCAGAUGCAGAAUCGGGAGUGGUGAAGCGUGCCUAGUGGAUGCUGGCUCAGAACAGAAGACUCAGACCCACACUAAGAACCAAGGAAGAGGACGAAGGUCUGCCUGUUAGGACCAGAAGCACAUCCAGCUGCUGCCAGAAAUCCCCACCUGACCCUGCAUUCUGUCAGGGAGCUGGGCCCCCGUGUCCUGCAGAACCUUCCACCCACCAGGGCCUGGCCACUCCCAAACCAGCUGCAGAGGCUUGGAGAGGACACUUCAUAAGACAAAGUGUACCCAACUCAAAAAGGGCAUGCUGCCACAUCCAGCUGUCUUCCGGAAAGAACCAGAUCAACUGCUACUCUGCUGAAGAUGGAAAAAAUCCCAUUAAUUUCCUGACAGGGUUGUUGUAAGGAUCGAGUGAGAUGACCCAGGACAGCAUGUGGACCACCUGCACAGAGUGAGGGCCUGGCCAAUAGCAGCGCUCCUCAGGGCUCAUAGCAGCUCCUCUGACAUCACUACAAGGACUUCACUGUCUGCAAGUAGACAGGGAAGACAGCUUCAUCCCAGAACCUCACCUUAGCAGUAUCCUCAGUCUACCUUCAGCCCAGAUCGCGAGGGCAGCCCUAAGCCUUGUGAUGGCCCUGGAGGGAGUCUGAGCUACGCAGACAGCAGGAUGGAGACAAAGCUUCUAAUCCCCAUGAAGGACUCUGAGUUCAUGCAAGCCCUCCACCCCUCUGCACCAGCUGUGAAAAGGCCUCAUCUGGAAUUCCUGGUGGUUGAGCAGACAGCAAGGUCCUUGCUGAAGCCACAGAUGAGUGGACCCUCCCACCCAUUCAGCCCUUUCCCCUUGCUUCCUCUGCACUCUCGAGGGGCUGGCCCCUUUCUCCCAUCAGCUGUCUGGGCUGGUUGAAUUAUUUCAGUGUUUUCGGACUCUCAGGAGUUGGCACAGAGCGUUGGAAGCCCUCCAGGAAUUCCAGCUGGGUAUGGAGCAUGGAUGAACUUGGCAGGUCACCUGCUUCCUACUCAGUGCUUGUCCACUUCCCCUGGGCUGACAGGAAGAGAUAGGGAUCGUCUCAUGAUCAGUGGGUGGCUUCUUGGGGACUGGCCCUCCAUUCAGCAAAUAUUCCAUGAGUUGCCCUCCAUGUCCCAGACUUCCUUACAGUAGUAAGUUGCAGCCAUGUGACUAAUCCCCAUCAAUGGGCUGUGAGAGGAAAUGACACGUGUAACUUCUGGGCCACGGCGGUUAACAGCCAGAGUGCCUUGGCCUCCCUCCUCUUCCCCAGAUGCAGUGACCUUGGGUGUCAUGCAUUCCAAAUGACAUGGGACCGCAAUGGAGAAAACAAACCCUUAUUGUCUAGUGCUGCUGAGCUUGGGGGUUUAUGUGCCUCUGCAGCAGAGCCAAGCCUAACCUGACUAAUAACAGGGCCUGUUGAAAAUAUCAGUUCAGCCUCCAGGGUCUGUGGUCUAAAGGUCAGCCAUGAAGGCAGGCAGGCAGGCAUCGACCAUGAUGCCCCAGUAAAAACUCAGAACACCAAGGCUCAGAUGAGCGCCCCUCGUUGGCAAUAUUCUGCUUAUUGUCACACGUCAUACCUGGAGGAGUCAGCACUGUCUGUGACUCCACAGGCAAAGGACAAUGGGAGCUCUGACACUGGAACCCUCUUGGAUUCUACCCCACAUGUGUCUUCCUUGAUUUGAUCUGUAUCCUUACACGGUAAUAAAUCAUAACCAUGGGUAUAAACA